CCUACGGGAGGCAGCAGUGGGGAAUAUUGGGCAAUGGGCGCAAGCCUGACCCAGCAACGCCGCGUGAGGGAAGAAGGCUUUCGGGUUGUAAACUUCUUUUGUCAGGGACGAAGCACGUGACGGUACCUGACGAAUAAGCCACGGCUAACUACGUGCCAUCAGCCGCGGUAAUACGGAGGGCGCAAGCGUUAUCCGGAUUUACUGGGUGUAAAGGGCGUGUAGGCGGGACUGCAAGUCAGAUGGGAAAACCACGGGCUCAACCUGUGGCCUGCAUUUGAAACUGUAGUUCUUGAGUACGGGAGAGGCAGGCGGAAUUCGUAGUGUAGCGGUGAAAUGCGUAGAUAUUAGGAGGAACACCAGUGGCGAAGGCGGUCUGCUGGACAGCAACUGACGCUGAGGCGCGAAAGCGUGGGGAGCAAACAGGAUUAGAUACCCGAGUAGUC
rnacentral:rRNA from 1 species